GAUGAACGCUGGCGGCGUGCCUAAUACAUGCAAGUCGAACGGUGAAGCCAGAGCUUGCUCUUAUGAAGUUAGCGGCGGACGGGUGAGUAACAAGUGGGUAACCUGCCCAUAAGACUGGGAUAACUCCGGGAAACCGGGGCUAAUACUGGAUAACAUUUUGAACCGCAUGGUUCGAAAUUGAAAGGCGGCUGCGGCUGUCACUUAUGGAUGGACCCGGGUCGAAUUAGCUAGUUGGUGAGGUAACGGCGCACAAAGGCAACGAUGCGUAGCCGACCUGAGAGGGUGAUCGGCCACACUGGGACUGAGACACGGCCCAGACUCCUACGGGAGGCAGCAGUAGGGAAUCUUCCGCAAUGGACGAAAGUCUGACGGAGCAACGCCGCGUGAGUGAUGAAGGCUUUCGGGUCGUAAAACUCUGUUGUUAGGGAAGAACAAGUGCUAGUUGAAUAAGCUGGCACCUUGACGGUACCUAACCAGAAAGCCACGGCUAACUACGUGCCAGCAGCCGCAGUAA
rnacentral:rRNA from 1 species